rnacentral:rRNA from 1 species
CCUGAUGGAGGGGGAUAACUACUGGAAACGGUAGCUAAUACCGCAUAACGUCGCAAGACCAAAGAGGGGGACCUUCGGGCCUCUUGCCAUCGGAUGUGCCCAGAUGGGAUUAGCUAGUAGGUGGGGUAAAGGCUCACCUAGGCGACGAUCCCUAGCUGGUCUGAGAGGAUGACCAGCCACACUGGAACUGAGACACGGUCCAGACUCCUACGGGAGGCAGCAGUGGGGAAUAUUGCACAAUGGGCGCAAGCCUGAUGCAGCCAUGCCGCGUGUAUGAAGAAGGCCUUCGGGUUGUA